UGCUUUAAAAUGGUUAAUUAUUAAGUCAUAUCAUACAUUUUUUGGCAUCAUCAGUUAAUUUCUAUUCUAAACAUUCAACCUCAAGUAAGUUGCACUUUCUUUAUGUAUGAUUAAUCAUGUUUCAGAUAUAUCAUAUAGAUACUUAAGAUAACCGGUUGUAAUUCUAAUUCAUUGGUGUAACCUCUAAUCAUAUCUGUUCUUUCUCGUUUUUGCAAUACAUGUUUGCCACAGUUGUAACGGUAAGUGCAUUGAAAACUGUUUGUUGGUUGUAUUAAAUUAAAUGGCCUCUUUUUGUUUAUCAUGUGUAAGAAAUGUCAGAUUUCAAAACCCUGUGAAAUGGUUUGACAAACACAGUUUUCUUGAAAUUGCUUCAAGUGCUUAAGUAAAUGUCAUUGCAUGACAUAACCAUAUUUUGCUGUUUGCUAUUGCUAUGACAGUGGUCAUUCCAAAAGGCAUUUUAUUGGACAAAAAAAUUGCAUACACGCAUACAAGAUGAGUCAUUAAUAUUAUUUGGACUUUAAGUUUUAUAUUUGCAACAAGUUUUAGUCAACUUUUAGGAAUGCAUUAACAUUUAGAGAGCAUGCCACAAAGAUAAUAGAUAUUGACUAAAAGCCUUGCACGCCAUGGCCAUCCUGCAAGUACAUCAGGCCAAGAUGCUUAAACAGUUGCACGAGGGCAGUGCUGACCAGGGACUCAUGCAGGAGGCGCGCACUGCUACCGACCUCGCUCUACGGACGACGAAGGUCACUGCAUGGUCCCUUGGUCAGGUGAUGUCCACUUUGGUGGUCCAGGACCGGCACCUAUGGCUAAACCUGCCGAACAUGAGGGACUCUGAUUGGACUCAGCUCCUCAACUCCCUGUCUCCUAGGCUGGCCUCUUCGGCGACACGGUCGAGAGUUUCAGCCAGCAAUUCUCAGCUGCCCAGAAACAGACUGAGGGGAUCGAACAUAUUCUGCCCUGGUGGCCUGCUGAUGCCUUCACACCGCUGCUGCCUCAGCCACCUCAGUCUGCUCGGCGAUGAGGGCACCCCCCUGCGGCCUCUUCCGCUCCCGCUCGGUCACAGCAGCAGCCUCCACCCAAGCCGCAGCGAGGAGAUGGCCGCAGGAAGUCGGCGCAGCCCGCCUCCGCCCCUCCCAAACCUGCCAAGCGCCAGUGGCAAUCCUGAGACAGGCAACAGGCGAUCCAUAGAGAUGCCAGCUCUCCAGGAGAUGGUAGCAGGACCACUCCUUCCCCUGGAGGAGGGCCGGGUGAGAAUCUUUUGUUCUCGUUUUCUUUCUGUUCCGCCCAAAUUCUCAAUAAAAGAGCUGUUUCCUCUACCUCCGUGUUCCGAAAGGGCGCAGAUGACAGUAGGUGACGUAACACCUCGCAGCUCUCAUCCCCCUCUUCCUUUGUCGCCAGUAACCAGUCAGAGCCGGCCCGAGAAUGCCCAGCCUUCUCACGCCCCCUCUGCUAUUAUGUGGAAUCAGACGCGUCUACACAGUUCACCCUCACUAAGGGACGCUAUGCCUCCCAUGUCAGGGCCUUCUGUUCCACCUUGCUGCCCCACUGUGGGUACACCUGUAGUUCCUCUGACCCCGCUGGCUCAGUUUCUGGGGGAAUGGCUAGAGCUCCCCAGUCCGCCCCGCUGGCACAUCCAGUCAAUCAAUACGAUUCAGUUCGCCCGGCGUCCCCCCAGGUUUCAGGAUGUUCGCGCUACGAUCAUGGGCAAUUUGAUCAUACGAUCGUGCAUUCGUCCUAUGGAUUGGUUUGCAGCGAUCGACCUGAAGGACGCGUACUUUCAUGUCUCCACUCUUCCAUGACACAGACCGUUCCUGCGGUUUGCUUUCGAGGGGCAGGCAUAACAGUACAAGGUUCUCCCAUUCGGGUUGUCCCUGUCUCCCCGUGUUUUCAGGAAGGUUGCGGAGGGAGCUCUGGCUCCUCUCAGGGAACAAAGUGUCCGUAUCCUCAACUACCUCGAUGACUGGCUGAUUCUAGCUUACUCUCGAGAACAGUUGUGUUCUGCUGUUCACAUCCCGGGCAAGCUCAAUUGUGCAGCCGACAAGCUCUCACAACAGCAUUCAUGCCAUGGAGAAUGGAGACUCCAUCCCCAGAUGGUUUAGCUGAUUUGGGAACGCUUCGGAGAUGCUCAGGUAGACCUGUUUGCCUCUCCGGACACUUCCCACUGCCAGUUGUUUCACUCCCUGACUGAGGGCACCCUCGGCACGGACCCUUUUUACAGCGACCGCAGACAUUGUGCAAGAUCAGGGAGGACGAGGAGCAGCUCCUCAUGGUUGUGCCCUAUUGGCCCGGCUGGACCUGGUUCUCCGAACUUGUACUCCUCGCGACAGCCCCUUCCUGGUCAAUUCCUCUGAGAAAGGACCUUCUUUCUCAGAGAGGGGGCACCCUCUGGCAUCCGCAUCUCGAUCUUUGGAACCUGCAUAUAUGGGUUUUGGAUGGGACGUGGAAGGUUUAGGUACCCUGCCACCUCAAGUGUUAGCUACCAUCACUUCGGUUAGAGCCUUGUCUACUAGACAGGCCUGUGCUUUGAAGUGGAACCUCUUUGUAACUUGGUGUUCUUCUCAUCAAGAUGACCCCUGGAAAUGCCGAUCAGGUCAGUGCUCUCCUUCCUUCAAGAUGGGUUGGAACGAAGGCUGUCUCCUUCCACCCUGAAGGUCUAUGUGGCUGCCAUUGCGGCUCACCAUGAUCUCAUUGACGGUAAGUCUAUUGGGAAGCACGACCUGAUCAUCAGGUACCUGAGAGGGGCCCUCUUGGGACCUUGCAGUGGUUCUAUCUGCGCUGCAGAGAGCUCCUUUUAAGGCUUUGCUCCCAGUAGAGCUGAAGUUUCUUUCUUUAAAAACAGUGCACCUGACGGCUUGGGCAUCUUGUUAAGAGGGACGGGGACCUGCAGGCAUUAUCAAUUGAUGAAGCAUGCCUGGAAUUCAGGCUGGCCAACUCUCACGUUAUCUUGAGACCCCUGCCUGGAUAUGUGCCCAAAGUUCCCACCACUCCUUUUAGUAACGAGGGUUACAUACAUAACCUAGACGUUUCCUGUACUCCACAAGACUGUAUUUAUUUGAUUAAAAACACAGUAAAAUGUAAUAGUGUAAAAAAAUUUCAGCAGCCAUAACUCCAGUCUUCAGUGUCACAUGAUCCUAUGAUAUUAGACUGAUUAGAAAUAAAUAAAAUCUUACUGACCCCAACCUUUUGAAUGAUAGCUGAUAUAGAUCUCAUUAAUUCACCCCAUUUGAAAUUGAACCUGCAAACAUGAUUCUUUGCGACUGAAUCUAUUUAAGAGAUCUUUUAGGAAUUUAUCUGUUUUGAAAUAUUAGCCUAUAUAUUAUUUUACAUUGUAUGCACAUAGACCUACCAUAUGGUUAUUUACUGUAAAGACAAUAAUAUGUUUUGAUUUUUGUUCUCCCAGAAUGAGUACAUGAAGGAUGAUUUUUUCAUCAAGAUUGAGACAUGGCACAAACCUGACCUUGGAACACUAGAGAAUGUACACAAAUUGGACAGUUCUACAUGGAAGUCUGUGGAGGUCACACCCAUUGACAUUGCAGACAAAGAACAAGUAGCCCCUGGU